CGGGAUGUGGCGCAGCUUGGUAGCGCAUCUGUUUUGGGAACAGAGGGUCGCAGGUUCAAAUCCUGUCAUCCCGA
rfam:Brevibacterium linens strain AE038-8 ctg29, whole genome shotgun sequence.